UACGAAUUGAUAUUCUACUUCGUCAGAACUGCUUUAUAACUGAGGAAAUAUUAAGAUGCGACGUUUCAAUCUCCAGUGUCUCCAAGUCAAAUGCAGUUUAUUGGCCUUUGGCUGUUUUAAAACGUUUUCCUGAGCAUUUUUCUUUCUUAGAUCACGAUUCUUGUCUCGACAGCUGCAUGUUCGAAAGACAAGUCACUUUUAACCAACGAUUUAUAAUGAUGAAUAAAAUUACGCCAUUAUGAAACGCCCAAAUUUCGACAUUUUUUAAUGUAAAAAUCAUGUGGAAUAAAAACAUGGAAUUUAUCUUUAUCAAAAAAAAACAAAUUAUAAAAAUCCAAAUUUUCUUACUGCAGUCAAUAUUUCCAAUUUCAUGCCAUGUGCGACAUGCACAGUUGUAAGAAAUGGCCAAUCUUGUUUCUGUGCUUGCCGUCGUCGACAUGAAAAUGGGGAUGUUUGUCAGAUAGCCUGAAAAUUUGCUAGAUACGAUGGUUGAUAUCGUCCAUUCUUUUUCUUCCGAAACAUGUUUAACUGUUUUCAGUUUGUUGGUACAUAUGUCUAAAAUCAAAUAAAAACAUAGUAAUUUAUCUUUUUGUGAAACGACAAUCCUUGCACAUUAUAAUGUUUUUGUCUG